GUGCUCACUUCAGCAGCCCAUGUACUAAAACUGGAACGAUACAGAAAAUAUUAGCGUGGCCCCUGAGCAAGGAUGACAUGCAAAUUCAUGAAGCGUUCCAUAUUUAA